UCGGAUAUGGUGUAACGGCUAACAUUGCCGCCUCUCACGAGAUUCCGCGGCAGCUCGGGGUUCGAUUCCCCGUAUCCGAA